AUGCCCAUCAGCAUCCAGUCCCGAGCAGAGCAGCUAGCAGCACCAACGUGCAAUGCCACCUCCGUCCCAUUACUUGAGCUUGACGUUCUCAUAGCCAGUUCGACGCCCCCGCCUCGAAACACAUCACAUAGUAACAUCGCCACGCCAAGUGAGUCUGGUCGAGGUGUUGACAAACAGCUGGAUGCCAACCCGCUAGCCGAUCAGCAACGACAUCAAGGAACAGGCAAAAGGAGAAGCUGUCCGACAUCAAGGAACAGCCGAGGAGCGACAAGGAGAAGCCGUCCGGGCGAGCAUACACCUAGUACAGCCACAAUGAAGAACAAUUGA
rnacentral:rRNA from 1 species